rnacentral:rRNA from 1 species
GCUCAGGAUGAACGCUAGCUACAGGCUUAACACAUGCAAGUCGAGGGGCAGCAUUUUAGUUUGCUUGCAAACUAAAGAUGGCGACCGGCGCACGGGUGAGUAACACGUAUCCAACCUGCCGAUAACUCGGGGAUAGCCUUUCGAAAGAAAGAUUAAUAUCCGAUAGUAUAUUAAAACCGCAUGGUUUUACUAUUAAAGAAUUUCGGUUAUCGAUGGGGAUGCGUUCCAUUAGUUUGUUGGCGGGGUAACGGCCCACCAAGACUACGAUGGAUAGGGGUUCUGAGAGGAAGGUCCCCCACAUUGGAACUGAGACACGGUCCAAACUCCUACGGGAGGCAGCAGUGAGGAAUAUUGGUCAAUGGACGAGAGUCUGAACCAGCCAAGUAGCGUGAAGGAUGACUGCCCUAUGGGUUGUAAACUUCUUUUAUAUGGGAAUAAAGUAUUCCACGUGUGGAAUUUUGUAUGUACCAUAUGAAUAAGGAUCGGCUAACUCCGUGCCAGCAGCCGCGGUAAUACGGAGGAUCCGAGCGUUAUCCGGAUUUAUUGGGUUUAAAGGGAGCGUAGGUGGAUUGUUAAGUCAGUUGUGAAAGUUUGCGGCUCAACCGUAAAAUUGCAGUUGAAACUGGCAGUCUUGAGUACAGUAGAGGUGGGCGGAAUUCGUGGUGUAGCGGUGAAAUGCUUAGAUAUCACGAAGAACUCCGAUUGCGAAGGCAGCUCACUAGACUGCAACUGACACUGAUGCUCGAAAGUGUGGGUAUCAAACAGGAUUAGAUACCCUGGUAGUCCACACAGUAAACGAUGAAUACUCGCUGUUUGCGAUAUACAGUAAGCGGCCAAGCGAAAGCAUUAAGUAUUCCACCUGGGGAGUACGCCGGCAACGGUGAAACUCAAAGGAAUUGACGGGGGCCCGCACAAGCGGAGGAACAUGUGGUUUAAUUCGAUGAUACGCGAGGAACCUUACCCGGGCUUAAAUUGCAUUUGAAUAAUCUGGAAACAGGUUAGCCGCAAGGCAAAUGUGAAGGUGCUGCAUGGUUGUCGUCAGCUCGUGCCGUGAGGUGUCGGCUUAAGUGCCAUAACGAGCGCAACCCUUAUCUUUAGUUACUAACAGGUCAUGCUGAGGACUCUAGAGAGACUGCCGUCGUAAGAUGUGAGGAAGGUGGGGAUGACGUCAAAUCAGCACGGCCCUUACGUCCGGGGCUACACACGUGUUACAAUGGGGGGUACAGAAGGCAGCUACCUGGUGACAGGAUGCUAAUCCCAAAAACCUCUCUCAGUUCGGAUCGAAGUCUGCAACCCGACUUCGUGAAGCUGGAUUCGCUAGUAAUCGCGCAUCAGCCAUGGCGCGGUGAAUACGUUCCCGGGCCUUGUACACACCGCCCGUCAAGCCAUGAAAGCCGGGGGUACCUGAAGUACGUAACCGCAAGGAGCGUCCUAGGGUAAAACUGGU